AGAGUUUGAUCAUGGCUCAGGACGAACGCUGGCGGCGUGCUUAACACAUGCAAGUCGAACGAUGAAGCCCUUCGGGGUGGAUUAGUGGCGAACGGGUGAGUAACACGUGGGCAAUCUGCCCUUCACUCUGGGACAAGCCCUGGAAACGGGGUCUAAUACCGGAUAACACUCCUGCCUGCAUGGGCGGGGGUUAAAAGCUCCGGCGGUGAAGGAUGAGCCCGCGGCCUAUCAGCUUGUUGGUGGGGUAAUGGCCUACCAAGGCGACGACGGGUAGCCGGCCUGAGAGGGCGACCGGCCACACUGGGACUGAGACACGGCCCAGACUCCUACGGGAGGCAGCAGUGGGGAAUAUUGCACAAUGGGCGAAAGCCUGAUGCAGCGACGCCGCGUGAGGGAUGACGGCCUUCGGGUUGUAAACCUCUUUCAGCAG
rnacentral:rRNA from 1 species